rnacentral:tRNA from 1 species
CAGAGAAUAGUUUAAAAAAAUAUUAAUUUUGGGAAUUAAAGAUAAAAGUAAUUUUUUCUCUGA